rnacentral:rRNA from 1 species
CCUACGGGUGGCAGCAGUGAGGAAUAUUGGUCAAUGGCCGUAAGGCUGAACCAGCCAAGUCGCGUGAAGGAAGAAGGAUCUAUGGUUUGUAAACUUCUUUUAUGAGGGACGAAAGAAAUGACGGUACCUCAUGAAUAAGCCACGGCUAACUACGUGCCAGCAGCCGCGGUAAUACGUAGGUGGCAAGCGUUAUCCGGAUUUACUGGGUGUAAAGGGCGUGUAGGCGGGACUGCAAGUCAGAUGUGAAAAUUAUGGGCUCAACCCAUAACCUGCAUUUGAAACUGUAGUUCUUGAGUGAUGGAGAGGCAGGCGGAAUUCCGUGUGUAGCGGUGAAAUGCGUAGAUAUACGGAGGAACACCAGUGGCGAAGGCGGCCUGCUGGACAUUAACUGACGCUGAGGCGCGAAAGCGUGGGGAGCAAACAGGAUUAGAUACCCGGGUAGUC